GCUCACCGAGGACAUGACCCUAGAUAGGAAGGUCUGGAAGAUGCGAAUUACGGCAGAGGAUUAGGGUCAGUUCGGGUCGCUAAUGUAGGGAAGUAAUUGGUGGGGGUGUAUUCCUGUUAUGAUUCCGUAUUCAAUGUUCCGUGUUCCGUGUUCCGUGUUCCAUGUUUAUUACGAAUCUGUGUGCUUUCCUCUGCUUUAUAUUCCUGCAUUCCUAAUUUACUCUGUUUUAUAUUCCUUAUGGGUGCCGUAUCUAUGUUAUGUCAUCUGCUUCGGUGCUGUACUAUGUGUUUAUGUGAUAUCUCGUGACUUGAGCCGGGGGUCUACUUGAGCCGGGGGUCUUUUGGAAACAGCCUUUCUACUUCAUCAGAGGUAGAGGUAUGGACUGCGUACAUCUUACCCCCCCC
rnacentral:lncRNA from 1 species